GGCCCUGUAGCUCAGUGGAAAGAGUGUCUCCCUCCGGAGGAGAAAGUCGUGGGUUCGACCCCCACCUGGGUCG
rfam:Basidiobolus meristosporus CBS 931.73 K493scaffold_466, whole genome shotgun sequence.